rnacentral:rRNA from 1 species
GAUGAACGCUGGCGGCGUGCCUAAUACAUGCAAGUCGAGCGAACAGACGAGGAGCUUGCUCCUCUGACGUUAGCGGCGGACGGGUGAGUAACACGUGGAUAACCUACCUAUAAGACUGGGAUAACUUCGGGAAACCGGAGCUAAUACCGGAUAAUAUAUUGAACCGCAUGGUUCAAUAGUGAAAGACGGUUUUGCUGUCACUUAUAGAUGGAUCCGCGCCGAAUUAGCUAGUUGGUAAGGUAACGGCUUACCAAGGCAACGAUGCGUAGCCGACCUGAGAGGGUGAUCGGCCACACGGGAACUGAGACACGGUCCAGACUCCUACGGGAGGCGGCAGUAGGGAAUCUUCCGAAAUGGGCGAAAGCCUGACGGAGCAACGCCGCGUGAGUGAUGAAGGUCUUCGGAUCGUAAAACUCUGUUAUUAGGGAAGAACAAAUGUGUAAGUAACUAUGCACGUCUUGACGGUACCUAAUCAGAAAGCCACGGCUAACUACGUG